GCCCUGAGCAAAGCCGAUCUACAGGAGCAGGCGGAAGUCAACCCUGAGCACUUUCAUCAACACUAUAGCCAGACUUCUGCAUAUCCACAAGCGGUACCCGUUAAACAACAUCAGGAAGCAGAGAAGCCACAAAGGUCAUGCGAAGAGGUGCAGGCGAGCAGGAAGAAGGAGACUGAGCGAGAGCUGAGCGAGUGCGUGUCCGUGCUGGAGAGCAGCCUGCAGAGCGCUCUGUCCGCCAUCCUGGAGGAAGAGAUGAAGGCAGCGUUUGGAGAGCUGUGGCUAGAGACGUGUCAGUGGAGCGGAACUCUGUUCUGAACGCGGUUUCCAUGGCCGAGGAGCUUCUACAUCGCUGCGCUGCAGGUCUCCAUACAGCGGCCAUGUAGACUCGGCCCUCUCCUGCCUCAAGACCUUACAGCAGAGACUGCAGCCUCAGAAAUCCCCAGUAGAUGACAGAAGUGGUGACACUCUAAUGGCCGAUGCUGUUCAGGAUGUAGCUCCGCCUCUGCAUGCUUCUCAUCAGGAAGUGUGGGCUUUGUUCGAGAGCAUCUGGAACAAUGUGUGCCAUGUCAGCUCGGCUGUGUUCUCAGCACUGCACUUCUCUCCAGGCUCAGCGGGUUCAGUAGAGCCACGCUCCACGCCGCCUCCCCAGGAUGCCCUCAGCUGCCUUCACAGGCUCAAUACUGCUCUUGAGCAGCUGCUGGAGGCCUUUCAGAGAUCGCUUCCAUGGAACCACACUUCACUGCCAAGGACCUGUUUGAGUGCCUGUCUCACCAGGAGUACAGGUUACUUACAUGAGCACACACACCCCUUUUUUUUUUUUUUUUUUUUGCACCGUUGGACACUGUCGUUUCAGUGAAAGGCACAUCAAUGUUCUGUCCAAACCUCAAUUCCUCUAAGUGCUGAUGCAAACGCACAUAUUUCGUAGGCAUGUGGGCAUUGAAUGAGUGAGCGGAGUUCUUCAACUUUCCUGUCUGUAAUUUCCCAUAAACUAUAGCAUGAUCUGAAUUCCCGGAAGGCCAUGUAACAUUUCAGUUUGUUCAGAUGAUCAGGAUUAUUAGGGGUUUGUUGUAAAUAUAAUACUUCUCAGCAUUGAGUUCCAGGUUCCAGAGGAGGAUGUUAGCUAAGAUGGCGUCUAUCAUGAGCAAAUCCUCUCACCCUGUAUGAGAUACUGGGGUCCCUGAGCAGCUCCUUCAGCAGACUGCUGCACCCUCAGUGCAAGAAAGAGCACUAUCGCAGGGAGAAGCUCUGUAUAGGAGGAGCGCAGCUGAUGGAACUGAGAGAGAACCUGCACCGCUGUGCAGCCGCUGUGUGUGGUACGAAUACCUACCAUCAGCAAAUGGCUUCGCACUGACAACAACGUAAUCACGUCGCAGUUGAUCUGGCCGAGCCAGGUACUUAUUAUUCAGCUGGCUAAUACUGAAUAAUAAUUCAAUAUUUACAUGCAAGAUGUGAACCAAAACCUCAUGAUCUGAUGGCAUACUUCUGGUUAUGUUCGUUUGGGUACUUGAGGACCAGAUCUUAGCAUUAAAUCUGAUCUCUACACCUAAUAAAUGCUGCUAGUUGUGUAUGAGCUAGUAAAUUGCAGAAAAAUUGGUAUUGUUUGGGGGGUUUUUUCCUCCCAAGUAUAUGACCAUUCUGCUGUGAAUGCAGGAUGUUUUUUGGUUGUUUUAAAUGUUUUUGUCAAUAGGCUCAGGAACCUACCUCAGAAUAAAUAAGGUGCUGAACACAGCCAUGUCUAGAGCCUAAAAACCUUAAACUUAGCCAAUAAUAAUUAAUUAUUCAAAUCUACUGGGGAACAUUCAUUCAUUCUUUUAUGUUGCCUGGUGAGCGUUUAGCAUUUGUUGAGAACGGGUUAUUUUUUUUAUGACAAAUGCAUUUUAUAUUGAUUUAAAAAACGCUGUCAGUAAAUAUAUAUUUAUUCCUGAGUCAUUUGUGUCAUGUCAUGUCACGUUCUCGGCGUUUCCGUACCCCUUCCGUUUGAGGAAGUCAUUAUUGCCGGUCAUUGGCGACUCAGACACCGCACUGCCAGCUCUAACAGGAUCAGGACGGGAAGCGGAAGACGACACAGACUCUCGUUAACACAGCUAAGAUCUCUGACGCAACUGCAAGUCGAGGUCAUGACAGGAUUUGGCUUUGUGUGUUUUGUUGUAGGCAGAUCGCACUCAGAGCAAGAGUCGGGCAAUGAAAGAACUUGAACUGUAAUGUUUCGAAUGUAAAUAACAUGAGUGACUGCAUGGGUUUACAGUGUAAAUUCAGAACUUAGAAAUUCUAUUGAAAAUGUCUGCCUGAGUGGGAGCCCUAAUUCUAAAAAUGUUCAUUUUUCAAUAAGUUACUCAUGACAAUAAGCAGAAAACGAAUAGAUAUAAAAGAAUAACCUACACUAUGAUAUUUGAGCACAUUUUUUUCCCAAAAAAAUGUUUUUCUACCAAAAAAAAAGGCUAAAUAUAGAUUUUGUGUAACCUUGAUAUCAUAUGGAAGAACGUUUGGCUCAUAACGUUGAAAGCUCUGUGUACAGCCGAAUCGGAACCUCCUGGCAGAGGCAAACAGGCUGAAAUAUCCAGAUCCUUAGAAAUGUACUGUACAGGUGCAUCUCUAAAAAUUCCAAUAUCGUGGAAAAGUCUUACCCCCCCCAUAAUUUACUUAAAAAAGCGGAACUCUCAUAUAUUUAAAGCUUCAUUACACAUUGUUUUAAAUCUCGAUGAUUACAGCUUACAGCUCAUGGAAAUCAAAAAUCCAGUAUCUCAAAAUGCUAGAACGAACCCCCAUCCCCAAAACAUCCCUGAAGAGUCACUGGUCCACCUUAACGUUUACAGAGAACCAGAUGAUUUUCCUCCUACGCCGUCCCCGUUUGUCUGCAAACAUGCUGCAUGGGCAAAAAUCUUCGAUGGUUUCCUCUGUUGUGAAGCUCUCAGUUUAGGUUCUUCAUUUUAAGUGAUGCUCACAGGGAGUCUUUUUUUAUGUUCUCUCCAAACAGCUUGUUCGUGACCUUUAGAAUAUUUUCCCUUCCUGGCAAAGUUACAGCCGUUUCAGACACACAUACGUUUUUAUUAUUGCCCUAACUGUGUAUUUGUUCAGGUUAGUACACCCUUUGGACUCAUGAGCAACCCUGUCGUCGUACGUAGCCAAAAUAAUAGCUCACCAAAUACUUUGUGCUGGAUCCAGAUGUUUAUCGCAGCAAAUUCUGGAAAUACACGAGUAGUGACCCGAGUUGAACAUUUGACUCAUUACCUGGUUAUUUAGUGACAUCGGCGUGGCUCAUGACCAUUGGCACUCGGUCUCGGAAAUGUCCUCUUAGACUCCGGGGGUUAAAAGGAUUUGACACGGUGGCCCAAUUCCUGAGAGAGUGACGCGUGUGCGUCAACGCCGCUUACAGAGGGUUAAUACUACUGAAUGAGUGGAACGUAGGAGGAGGGAUAUGUGCGUCUGACUAAUACCAACCAGGGAUAUGUAAGCACACACUGACUGAAGUACUGAAGAAGCUAAUUUUACAGCUAACUUAACAUCCUUUAAAUUAAACUUUGCAUAGUUUAAUUGAAUCCUUACGUGAUGAGUCUCAUACCACGGUUACAAAUUAAAAACCAUGAGAAACAACAUUUCUAAAUAAGACCAUUUUUAGGGCUGUUGCCUUCUUCAUCAUGGGGGAAAGAAAAUAACAAGACACUCCAGUUUCCAAUUAAGAGACCGGAUACACAAACCAGAUUAGUGUAAUCUCCCACCACUAUUCCACUCAGGAGCCAGAGUGCACAUUAAAAGGGGUUUGAUUUAGUGAUAGACUUCUCCAGCAUCGCAAUCGUUAUCUCCCCACACAUUAAAACACGUAAUCGUCCGUGUCAACAGCCGGGUCAUAAACAAAAAAACAAACAAAAAGACACGAGAACAGUUUGAGGCUGAAGUGAUCUAUUUGUUAAGAAAUAUCAGCUUGUAACAAGUGGUAUACAGGAUCUCAGCCACCAUUUCAGUUUCAUGUGAAAACAAAAACACAUUGAAGAACUAUGUACCUGAAAUUCCUAACACAGAAGAUAUUAGACAUUGAAAUAAAAUAAAAUAAAAGUCAUGAGUUAGUCCAAAUGCAGAUUUUAGCUAGCAGAAAUGUUGUGUGUGUGUGUGCGUGCGCACUCGUGUGUAUACUUGUAUAACUAAACUGGCACUGAUUUAAGGUUCAUGUGCGUCUGCUUAGCUCGUCUAUCAACCAGCAGUGUAUCAAAAAUAUAAAAAGGCCAUCGUUACUGAUUGGUAAACCCAAUCCUGCAUAACGGUUAAUGCGAAAAGAUGAGCUAUGCAAGUGAUCGUUUGUUGAAUAAGGCUUUUAUGUAACCACAUGUAUGCUAAUACUAUUUUUAAAAAAAAAUAAAAAUAAAAAAGCACUAAACUGAAAUCCAGCUAAAUCAUUUAAUCCUGCCAGUGCCUUCCUGGAAAACCUUUCCUAACUUAAUUAUCCACUCAAAAGGUACAAUCAAUGAAUGUGCAGUAAAGAUUGGCAAAUUAAAAAAACAAAAAACAAAA